rnacentral:rRNA from 1 species
UUCGGUCCCUAUCUGCCGUGGGCGCUGGAGAACUGAGGGGGGCUGCUCCUAGUACGAGAGGACCGGAGUGGACGCAUCACUGGUGUUCGGGUUGUCAUGCCAAUGGCACUGCCCGGUAGCUAAAUGCGGAAGAGAUAAGUGCUGAAAGCAUCUAAGCACGAAACUUGCCCCGAGAUGAGUUCUCCCUGAGACUUAGAGUCUCCUGAAGGAACGUUGAAGACGACGACGUUGAUAGGCCGGGUGUGUAAGCGCAGCGAUGCGUUGAGCUAACCGGUACUAAUGAACCGUGAGGCUUAACCUUACAACGCCGAAGCUGUU